rnacentral:rRNA from 1 species
AAAAGAAACUAACAAGGAUUCCCCUAGUAACUGCGAGUGAAGCGGGAAGAGCUCAAAUUUGAAAUCUGGCGGUUCUGCCGUCCGAGUUGUAAUCUGGAGAAGCGUUUUCCGUGCCGGACCGUGUACAAGUCCCUUGGAACAGGGCGUCAUAGAGGGUGAGAAUCCCGUCUUUGACACGGACUCCCGGUGCUCUGCGAUGCGCUCUCGAAGAGUCGAGUUGUUUGGGAAUGCAGCUCAAAAUGGGUGGUAAAUUCCAUCUAAAGCUAAAUAUUGGCGAGAGACCGAUAGCGAACAAGUACCGUGAGGGAAAGAUGAAAAGCACUUUGGAAAGAGAGUAAAACAGUACGUGAAAUUGUUGAAAGGGAAACGCUUGAAGUCAGUCGCGUCUUCUGGAACUCAGCCUUGCUUCUGCUUGGUGCACUUUCCAGUUUGACGGGUCAGCAUCGGCUCUGGGGGGCGGACAAAGGCGCGGGGAAGGUGGCAGCUCCGGCUGUGUUAUAGCCCCGCGUUGUACACGUCCUCCGGGACCGAGGAAUCCGGCGCUCGUCGCCCGGGAUGCUGGCGUAAUGGCUUCAAACGACCCGUC